rnacentral:tRNA from 1 species
GUUUAAGAAGUUUUUAGAAUUUAAUAUUGAAGCUAUUAAGGAGGUUUGAGCCCUUAUAAA